GAUGAACGCUAGCUACAGGCUUAACACAUGCAAGUCGAGGGACCGGCGCACGGGUGAGUAACACGUAUCUAACCUGUCCUUUACUCGGUGAUAGCCUUUCGAAAGAAAGAUUAAUACCCGAUAUAAAGGAUGGGGAUGCGUUCCAUUAGGUUGUUGGUGAGGUAACGGCCCACCAAGCCUUCGAUGGAUAGGGGUUCUGAGGGGAAGGCCCCCCACAAUGGAGCUGAGACACGGUCCAAACUCCUACGGGAGGCAGCAGUAAGGAAUAUUGGUCAAUGGGCGGUAGCCUGAACCAGCCAAGUAGCGUGAAGGAUGAAGGCUUAUGGGUCGUAAACUUCUUGUAUAGAAGAAUAGGUAUUAUAUGAAGAAGGAUCGGCUAACUCCGUGCCAGCCGCCGCGGUAAUAC
rnacentral:rRNA from 1 species